GAUGAACGCUGACAGAAUGCUUAACACAUGCAAGUCCACUUGAAUUUGGGUUUUUAACUUAGGUUUGGGUGGCGGACGGGUGAGUAACGCGUAAAGAACUUGCCUCACAGCUAGGGACAACAUUUGGAAACGAAUGCUAAUACCUAAUAUUAUGAUAAUAGGGCAUCCUAUAAUUAUGAAAGCUAUAAGCGCUGUGAGAGAGCUUUGCGUCCCAUUAGCUAGUUGGAGAGGUAACGGCUCACCAAGGCGAUGAUGGGUAGCCGGUCUGAGAGGGUGAUCGGCCACAAGGGGACUGAGACUCGGCCCUUACUCAUACGGGAGGCAACAGUGGGGAAUAUUGGACAAUGGACCGAGAGUCUGAUCCAGCAAUUCUGUGUGCACGAUGAAGUUUUUCGGAAUGUAAAGUGCUUUCAGUUGGGAAGAAACAAAUGACGGUACCAACAGAAGAAGUGACGGCUAAAUACGUG
rnacentral:rRNA from 1 species